GUGUGUGUGUGUGUGUGUGUGUUAGAGAGAGAAAGAGAGGAGAGAGAAGAUGGUUUCAGGUUCAGGGAUCAGCGCAAGGAGGAUAGUGGUGGAUGCUCGCCACCAUAUGCUUGGAAGACUUUCUUCAAUUUUGGCGAAAGAGCUUCUCAAUGGACAGAGAGUUGUUGUUGUUAGAUGUGAAGAGAUUUGUCUUUCCGGUGGACUUGUUCGCCAGAAAAUGAAGUAUCUUAGAUUUCUUCGUAAGAGAAUGAAUACAAAGCCAUCUCAUGGUCCUAUCCAUUUUCGUGCUCCUUCUAAGAUCCUUUGGCGUACAAUCCGUGGGAUGAUUCCUCACAAGACCAAGCGUGGAGCAGCUGCACUUGCCCGCUUGAAGGUUUAUGAGGGUGUUCCACCACCAUAUGACAAGAUUAAGAGGAUGGUUAUCCCCGAUGCUCUAAAGGUAUUGAGGCUCCAAUCCGGACACAAGUACUGUCUCUUGGGCAAGCUUUCAUCAGAAGUUGGAUGGAACCAUUAUGAUACUAUCAAGGAACUCGAGAACAAGAGAAAGGAGAGAGCUCAGGUAGCAUACGAGAGGAGAAAGCAGUUGGCAAAACUUAGAGUUAAGGCUGAGAAAGCUGCUGAGGAGAAGCUUGGACCUCAACUCGCCGUUAUUGCUCCUAUCAAGUAUUGAAUUGGGAGUUGAGACAUAGUUAUUACGAAGUACAAUUUUGUUAAAGAUCGAUAAAUCAUCUUAUUCUCGACCUUUUUCUUAGUUACAUUGACCUCCUGAGUGGUGCAUUUUCAGUUAAGCUGUGUUUGAGAAGACUCUCAGACUCUUUUUAUCCUUCAUUUUUUUUGGUAAUGAAAUCGAAUCUCA
rnacentral:misc_RNA from 1 species